UAUCUUGGUAUCAAUAGUAUCGAUACUUGGAUCAGUACACUCCUUUUUGAGGCUGUCACAACAAAAAGUAAAGGAACAGAGGACUGCAUUCUCCUGUCUCUGCUCCAGUCCCUCCUACUCUCACCUGUUCACAUUUGCCUUCCUCACAGGUGUCGGCGAUUUACGUUCAUUAAGGUUCCUUUAUUUUCUGUGUCUUUCUGCUGGGUUAUUGUCGGUUCAUUGUGCUUCCAGCAGCCAGUUUGGUUUGUUUUUCAUCAUGGUUGUUUUUCCUAGAGUUUUCCUCUUAAGUAUGUUUCUGUUGCUACAUCAGCAGCCAGGGAUGUUGACAUCUCGUCAGCAGCUGCUCUGCUACCAUUUUCUUCCCAAACUGCUGUGACCAGAUUGUGCAACGCUGCUCUGUGUGUUUGCUUGUUAUUUUCUCCUGCUUCUUUAUUUCUAUGAAUUUCAACAAACCGUGCUGACGUCAGGUAGUUCGCUACGGCCUCGUCUUUGAGUUUUUAAUUUCUGUCAAUGCAGUUUGAAGAGACACUUUUUUGAAAGUAGGAUCACCUGCGUUUUGACCACUUGAAGAGGUUUGAGGAGGAAGAGGAAGGACCUGGUAAGGAGAACAAAGCAGAGGUGAUGGAGAGUGGGCAGGCAGGUGUCUCGAGGAGGUCUGCAGGCCUGAGCAGAGGUGGUAACGCAAAGAGGCAGAGAGAAACACAAAGCCAAGCAUCGUUUUGUUCAUGAACAGUCUUUGUUUCUGACUUUUAAAGUCUCACUGUGUGUGUUUAUAAGAGAAACAUGUGAAAACAUGUUGCAAGUGGAUAAUUACUAAUAGUCUUUUGUGUCUCACUGUCAACAAUGAAACAUCUGAAUCUAACACUGCACAAAUAACUGUUUCUAAAUUUAAUGUUCUCUCACGUUAACUUGCCUUUCUCACCUGUUCUCUCCUUCAACCUCAUAUUUGAAACCUCACAACCAAAACAUAUUAAACACAAGACAGCUUUAUUUAGACGUUUUUAAAUCUUAUCACCGGGAAAUCUUUCUUCAUUCUCUGUGAACAAUGAGAAACUUGGUCCUGUUAAAGGUUUAAAAGUAAUAGAAAACAAAAGCAAACAAGCACGAGGAAAUUAUUGAUUCCAGUGAAACAAUAUUGUCCUUUCACCUUUUUUUUUUUUUGAGUCUUGUGUCUUUUCAGAUGUUUUUUUCUUUUCUUUUUUAUUUAUCAGCCAGUGAGCCUUCAGAAUUUUCUCAAUUGUAGGGCCA